UGAAGGGGGGCCUUUGACACUCUUCACCCCGCCCCUCCCUUGCUUAGUCGCUCGGCUGGCCCGGCUCACCUUCGGGGUGAAGGCUACCAGCGAGCGUUAUAGCAGACGACUUUAAUAAAUGCAGGCGGCAGCAGGAACUCUGGGAACUUGGGUGCCCUUGCCUGGCAGUAAGGGUUGAAUUAUCCGGAUCUGAAAUACUUUACAGAGCCGAGGGGUGAUAGGCUCUGCAAAAGCACUUUUUGCCCCUCUCCUUUAUGCCAAUACUCGCUGACUGUGCACACAAGUCAUAUUCAGUAUUAAAUACAAACCGGUCUGUAAUUCAAUGGCUCUAGCAAGACGCCUCUGAGAGGGCCAGGUGGCGGGUGCAAGUUGCUCAUUAACCCUUUAGAGUCGCAGUUUGCAGAUCUGAGUUAGAUCCCCGGCUUUGAGGUCCUUCAGUUGCCCUCCUCCCCCACCUCCCCCCGCCACUGCGAGAAAAAUGUGCAAAGAGAAGGAAAUUUGCACAUCAAACGAGGGGCAAUCGCGGCGGUAGAUGAACUUGAUUAGGCAGACGCGUGAGAUCAAAGUGGCCGGGACCAAAGCGGACAGGGUCCAACGUGCCAGCACUGCCAAGAGAAGGCCUUUUGUACUCAGGUUAAAUAAGAACAUCCUGCAAGGAGUCUGUUCUUUUAUGCAGCCUAAAGAUCAAGUAAUAAUCAUUGACACUGAUACUGAGCAUGUCGAUUUUGAAGAGACUAGCAUUUCCUGGUAAUGAAGUGGAGUAUAUAUCCAUAUAUUUCUGUUUUCUGGAUGAGAAGACUAACCUAACUAAGUAGGAACCUUGAAGAAUCAUGUUCUUCCUAGGAAUUACAAAUCCCCCGAUUCCAUGUCUAACAUAAUUUCUACUGGCCUCUUUGCUUCUCAUGCUUUAGUACCAGUGCUUCUGAAUUUGAAAGUCUUCAUGCAAAUUGCCCAGGUUUGCUGGCAGCUGUGUCUCAGAAAAAGCUGUCUUCAGCAAGGCAGAAGCAGACAAGAUCCAGCUCUAUUGCCCAAGCUGGAGUGCAGUGGUGAGAUAAUGAUUCACUGCAGCCUUGAUCUCCUGGGCUCAAGCAGUUCUCCUGCCUCAGCCUCCUGAGUAGCUGGGACCACAGGCACCCUCCACCAUGUCUGGCCAAAAUUUUUUGAAUUUUUUGUAGAGACCAGGUUUCACCAUGUUGCCCAGGCUGAUUUCAAAUUCCUGGGCUCAAGUGAUCUUCCUGCCUCAGCCUCUCAAAGUGCUGAGAUUACAAGUGUGAGCCACCACACCCAGCCAAAAUAUAAAUACGCCUUUAAUAGUAACACCUAAUUACCUAACACCAUCAAAAAUGGGGUGCUCCAUGAAGAAGCACAUAAUUCAAAUUAUUGAAGUUUAUCCCUUCUAAUGACCACAUAGAUUUCUCUUGCCCCAUUAAAAAAUUAGAUAAUCAGUAUUUCUAGGAUAGUUGUUUUCUUCCAACCAAUUAAGGCAUAAUCUAUGUAGCAGAACAUUCAGAGGAUGAUGCCUGGUCAACAUUUGAAUAAACAAUCACUGUGAUGUUACCUCUAUUUAAGAUGACUCCAAUAAAACUUCUAUGGUUUGCAUUAUUAGUUGAUCAGACUUUAAGCAUUAUCUUUUGAUAGGGUCAAGGAACCUGUCUUAACUCCCCAUCUCUGACCAAAAUAUACUUGUUUUCUAUAAGCUAUAAAGCCAGAUAGCCAAUUUUAUGAGAAUUGUCCCUAUACUAUAUCCAUGUGAGCGAUGAGUGCCUGGCAUGAAGAUGCAUAAAGGAGGCAGUAAUAUACAACAACUGAAGCAUAACCUCUGGAGCCAGUCUUCUUCAGACAAAUCCCAAUUCCAUUACUCACUGGCCACCUAAACAAGCUACUUAAUUCAUCUGCCUCAGUUUUCUUCAACUGUUUAAUGGGUAUGAUCAACAAACCAACUUCAGUGGGUUAUCAUAAAUAUUAAUAAAUGAGAGAAUGCAUGUGAAACAAAGCUAUAAGCAAUCAUUAGUAAUAAUAAUAAAAGAUGAUCAUUAUUUUUCAUGGAGUUUUUGCUAGUGCCAUGUACUGUUUUGUUAAUACUAAUUGCCUGAUUUUCUGUCCAUGAAUUUUUGGCUGAUCUAAGUUUCCACUUCCCUCACCCCUUGGCUGGGAUCUAGGUAUGAGAGUUGCUUGGCAAGCAAACUAGAGAUAAGUAAGGUGUUACUAUAUAAAGUUAAUGUAGGCACAUAUGAAUAUCCAAACAUGCCAUAAUGUUGGGGUUUGACCCUUUCCCUAAUACUCAGUUUCUUCAUUUGAAAUGUUCUAAUUGGUGUUUUUAUGUUGG
rnacentral:tRNA from 10 species